CUGUCACUUUGAUCUAUGUGUUUUUCAAUAAUUUGUAUAAUUAAAUUAUUUUUAGUUGUUUCAGUUGUUCUGUAUCAUGUACAUUUCUGUUGUCCAUUGAGAGUAUGUCAUUGAUAUAUUUUUUCAAGAUUUUCUCUUAGUUAUUUUUUCCUUCUAAUCUUUGAAAACAUUAAAAAAAAUUUCUUCAGUUUCCUCUUCUUAUUUUAAGACUCUCUUUUGAAGCUUUAUAAAGCUCUUUUAUUUGGCCUUUUAAUUCUGUAUCAGUGCUAAUUCUUUUUUUUUUUAACCCUUACCUUCCUUCUUGGGGUCAAUACUGUGUAUUGGCUCCAAGGCAGAAGAGUGGUAAGGGCUAGGCAAUAGGGGUCAAGUGACUUGCCCAGGGUCACACAGCUGGGAAGUGUCUGAGGCCAGAUUUGAACCUAGGACCUCCCAUCUCUAGACCUGGCUCUCAAUCCACUGAGCUACCCAGCUGCCCCCAGUGCUAAUUCUUCUUUAAUUACUUUAAAUGUAUUGAUUUGAGGUUGUCCUUAAAGGAGUCUUCUGCUGUUUCUUCUUCCAUCUGAUCAUUUCUGACAUUUGAUCUGAUCUCAUUCAGUUCUUUUAGCACAUCAUACUUGUUUAUAGGUAUGAAUUGAAAUUUAAAAUUUUAAUCACUGCUAGAUAAAUUAGGAAUGUUAAAGUAUACUUUUUUUAAUGCAUUCAGUAUAUUAUUUUACACAGUGUGCUACCAAAUAGGUUGUCUGUGAAUAAAAUUUUUGUUCAUCAAAUCAUUCAAAAUUAUUAGAGAUCCUUAUUAUCUGAAGGAUAAUGAUAUGAUAAAUCUUUUGAAAUUUAAAUUAUAUCCAUGAACUUAUGUGUGUAUGUAUGAGUUUUUGAGUGCUAAAAUCUUUAAAUUAGGUCACACCUACAUAUAUAAUAUAUAGAUUGCCUCUAAAUAUAUGCAGACCUUCUAAAUUCAGAUCUUGUAAAAAAAAGAAUAUACACACACACACACACAUACUUCCACACAUUCCAUUUUAGAGAUAGUUGGUACUUAGAUCUUGAACUUCAGACUUUCUGGGGCUUAUGAGGAAGCUAAUAAAGAAUUGAGUCAAUGUCACUUUACUUUUCUGUGUUUUUACUGCCAUUUCCCCUGUCCCAUGUGAAUCUUAAAACUGCUCAGUCUGUACUUCAGAAGAUUUGAUUAAGCUAUUCCCCAUUUUCUGCAAUGGAGGUACUUGAUCAGGAAUGUAUUGAGAACUUUAAAAUUACUCCACCCUACUCAGACAGUUCCUUAGGGGAAGACAAUGUUGCAAAUCCCUGAUUGAACAAUGAAAAGUCCCCAACUUAUACUUAUAGUGAAGCAAAAACCCUAAACUAGGUGUUCUAUUUUUAGAUCUAAUACAAAAGGGUGCUAAGUACCUAUAAAGGCUAAACUAGUCACUGAAAGGUCAAGCAGCUUACAAAAGGCAAGCUUAACAAAAGAGGUAUGAAGUAUCAGAAGAUAUAAUCUACCCAGAGAAGGUGAGAACUAAAGAGUGGUGAGAACUAAGAAUAGGCAGUCCUGGAAAAAAGCGUCUACCAUGAUUGGUAGACAUGAAAAUUUAGGGGAGGUGACAUAAGAGAAAAAUUGCUUUAAAAGGAAGUGAAGGAACAAGUUCAGGGCAAUUGAAUUCAGUUACAAUUUGAAUUCAGUUUGGAGGCUAAUUUCAGUUCGGAGUGGAAGAACCUUGCUUGGGAUGAUCUUGUGGUGAGUGAUAAAGACUGACUAGUCUCCCUCAAGGCUCAAAUGGCCUAGGCCCUGUCUGUCUCUGUCUGUCUGUCUGUCUGUCUGCUCUGUCUCUGUCUCUGUCUCUCUCUCUCUCUCCCUCUCCCUCCCUCCCUCCCUCUCUCCCUCUCUCUCCCUCCCUCUCUCCCUCUCUCCCUUUAAUUCCUUCAUUUAUAUUAAUUAAAAUCUCCAUAACACCCAGCUGACUUUGGGUAUUUUCAUAUUUGGGAAUUUUCCCAUGGCGACCACUUAUUUUUGAUUUAAAUCAAGACACUAACAAUCAUCUUUACAGUUUGUCUGAAACCUUUACAGUUUUGGCAAUUCACAGUCUUAGAAACCAUAUUUUCACAGUUACGCCCAAUCCCUUCCCCCCCCCCACUCAAACACACACACACACACACACACACACACACACACACACAUUUCUAGGCCAUUCUUAAUUGCCUCUGUCACAGCAGUCCUGCUGUCUACAUAUAGAACUUUUGAAACAAUGUACAGAUUUAGGGGAAAGAAGGAUUUGUGGAAAUCUACCUAGCUCUUAAUGUAUUCUUCAGUCUCAAUAAUGUUAGGUAUAAAAGAAAAUAUAGGCUUUGAAAAAGAGUUCCUUCUUUGGGAUUUGGGGAAAAUGUGUGUAAUCUCUCAGCUACCUGCCAAGCUUGAUAGUAAAUAUAAUUAUAGGCUUUUCUAUAUACAAACAAGUUUUUAUGAAAAUAGCAUAUUUUGCAUGUACGCAGGUGUGUGUGUUUCCCUUUUCUCCCUCACCAAGGAUGUAAUCAAGGAAAGUAAAUGGGAGAUAAUGAGCUGUUCAGCUAAGUGUGAAGACAUGUCUUUACAUGUGAAAAAGUUUCUUGAUUGAAUUGGAAUAGGUAACUGUCAUUUGAUGACUAAAGAUUGGUCACAUCCUUAUUGUCAUAAAAAACUAAUUUCCUAGCUCUGCAGCCCUUCCAGGCAGGAGAUAGUAGUAGAGGAAGAAUAUUGCUCCUGAAAGGGAAUCAUUCUUCACCUCUUAGAGGAAGUAGAGAAGUCUUUCAUUUCCCAUGGCUUCUAACAACAGAACUGUUCACUCAGCAGGAGAUACCACAUCCAUAUCAGAGAGCUAUCUGGAGAGUCAAAUAGUUCACAGCAGGGAUCAGAGAAGCCCAUUCUCUGGAUAGAAAUGGAUACAGAAGAGUAGCAUUUAAUACAGGAAUCAGCUUCAUGGAUGGAAACCUCUGGCAGUAAAGAAAAGAACUUAGGAUUCUAAAGAAUUACAAAGAAAAAUAAUUAUUGAAAUAUAGUCUUCAAAAAUAUUAUUCCAGAACAAGUUCCCAGAUUUCAGGUUAAGAACUCUUACUCUACCGUUCCCCAAGAGAUAAAUAGAUGAUCAAAGGAUAUGAAGAGAUGCUUUUAAAAGAAGAAAUCCAAACUAUUAAUAACUUAUGAAAAAUGCUACAAAUCACUAAGAAUUAAAGAAAUAAAUUAUAGCAACUUUGAAGUUUUUACUUUACAUAUAUUAGACUGACAAAGAUGACAAAAGAGAAAAAUAACAAAUAUUUGAGGGCCUGCAAGAAAAUAAAUACACUUAUAUAGUUGAUAGAGCUAUGAUUUAGUACAACUGUUCUAGAAAGUAGUUUGAAACCAUACUCCUGAAGUUACUUUACUUUGUCAAAGUUUGCCUUUGACAGAGUUGUAUUACUACCAAGGCCUAUAUGCCAAAGAAAUCAGAAAGAGGAAAUGGAUCUAUAUAUGUAAAAAUAUGAGAUUUUUUCAUGGUAACCAAAAACUGGGAACUCAAAGGAUAUCAUCUUAUCAGAGAUUGUCUAAACAAAUUGUAGCAUAUAAUAUUGUGUUAUAAAUUAUGAAACUAUAGGAGGACUAGGAAAAUAGUUUAUACAAGGUUAACAAAACAAAGAAACUCUGAAAGACUUUAAAACUCUUGUCAAUAUGAUGAUAAACCAGGUAUUCAAAAGUAUGAAGAUGAAAUAUAGCCCACAUAAGUUAAAAAUGCAUUUCUAGAUAUGACUAAUGUGAAUUUUUUUUUUUGCUACAUUGUACAGCUCUGUGUUAAGGGCUUCAUUUUUUGGUUUUGUUUGAGGUUGAGGGUUGAUUUGUUUAUUUGUUUGUUUAUCAUCCAGGGGAAUGGGAAAGUAGCAGGAAGGACAAAUUUGUAUUUUUAAAAAGAAUAUGUUAUGAUAUACUGCAUUUUUUAAAUGGCACUAAUCUAUGCACCAGCUAUUCAAAAGUGUCCAGAAUUAAAAUUCAGUAACUGAACCACACUUGUAUCAAAGGAAAAUGGUGAAAAUAUUCUGUAUCAUUUUGCUACUAAAAAUAAAACAACAAAAAAAGUUUUUCUCUACACUGAGUUAAUGGACGUAGAAAUGAUAUUGGUGUUAUUGAAUGAAUGGUGAAUAUUUUUUGGAGAAAAACGUGUUGACAUAGGCAGAGCCAAGAUAGUGGAGAAUAUCACCUGAUCUCUACCAAUUUAUCAUCACCACCCCCAAUUAUAGUAUAAUGCCUCCAAACAAAUUUUGGAGCAGUAUACACAAAAGGCUGACUUUCUGGACAAUAUUCAUCAUGAAAAUAUCUUUUUUUUUUUAACUCUUACCUUCUGUCUUAGAAAUAAUAUUAGGUAUUCGUUCCAAGGCAGAAGAGCAGAAAGGGCUCUGCAAGGGGGAUUAAGUGACUUGCCAGAGAGAGUCACACAGCUAGGAAGUAUUUGAGGUCAGAUUUUAACCUAGGACCUCUUGUCUCUAGGCCUAAGCUCUCAAUCCUCUGAGCCACCCUGCUGCCCCCACAUGAAAAUAUCUGGAAAUGCUGUUUGCAUUUUUUUAUCAGCAUAUGUUAUUAUGGAUAUCUGAUAAUACUUAACUAAACUCACAGCUGGUAAGGAGGGAUUCUCAGAAGGAGAUUACAGUAAUCCCUUUGCUGGCUCUGGGUGCAAGAUUUUUUUUUUCAAAACAAGUAAUCUUUGUGGAGGGAAAAUCCAUUAAUUUGAUAAACUUUUAUGACAUUAUUUGAAAGUUUUUUAAGACCUUUUGUCUUCAAUUAUUUUUUACCCAGAGCACAAAGUUUAACUAAGGACAAUUAUAAGAUAUCAGUAAUAACAUAUUCUGAAAAAAAACCCAAUGCAAACAGUAUUCAAGAUAUUUUCAUGGUGAAUAUUGACCAAAAGUUGGCAUGUUAUACUGAAAAGUCACCUUGAGUCAUGAAGACUUGGACUGGAGUAAUAACUCUGAAAUAGUCUAGCAAUGAGACACAGAACAAGUUCUUUAACUUCUUAGUGCUCUAGGUUAAAGGUAUCAAACAUGAGCGUGACUCUCAUGUGUAGCCCAAACUAAAUUCAAUUUUUUUUAAAAUUAUAGCUAGGAUUUAUUAGCCAUCUCUUUAAGGCUUACCUUAACUUUUUCUAUAUUAUCUCAUUUAGUCCUCGCAACAACCUUGUGAAAUAUAGGUACUAUUGUAGAUAUAGUUUAUAGAUGAUGAAACUGAUACUAAGAUUUUACAUAACUUAUCCACAGUCACACAUCUAGAAAGUGUCUGAGGCAAGAUUUGGAUUCAUCUGCCUGACUUCAAGUCCAGUGCUCUAUGUCUUGAACCACCUAACUGCCUCUUGAAAAUUAUAUGAGCAUUAUAGUCUGGGAACACACUUUAACUACAAACUAAUAGUAUCAAAAAUUAUUUUCUACUUACUAUGUUCUAGAGCUGAUGAUAAUUAUCAUCAUUAAUUAAAUAAUUAAGAACCCAAUCUGAGGCACUAUGUUGAGUGUAAUAUAAUACUUGCUAAAUGGACAGUCUCCUGAUCUCUAGGAGACUACAUUUCUGAAAUGGGUGAUCUGGGCAGAUAAUUUUUAAUAAUAAUAAUAAGUUCCUUAAGGCCAGUGAUUUUAUCAUUAUGUUAUAUUUAUUACAUAAUACAGUAUUAUAUUUGAUGUCCAGCUUCUUAGCAUUCAAUAAAUUUUUUUACCAUCAUUACUAUUAUUAUUAUUAUUAUUAAGAAUCAUAUACUAUGAUGAUGAUGAUGAUAUAAUGCAGAUAUAAAUAACUAAAAUAUUUUAUUCAGCAGAUCUUCAUAAUGAGCCAUUGAUGAGAUAUGCUAAUUAUAAAUGCCUUUCCUCAAAGGUAUUAUUUAUAUCAGUGCUUUCUACUCUAAUCAAAUUUAGAAUACACUGCAUUUCUAAAAUGGAGAAGAACACAGAUCCAAGUAGCAAUCCUGGGGCACAGUCUCAGGGUGAGGAAGAACACUAAGCAGACUCUAAUGCUUACAGCCCUGGGGAGUGGGGGUUCCUAGACACAUUUCCGAGGGGAAAAAGAGUUUUUGUAGUUACUCACUGACCAGAGCACAGCCCAGAAGAGAACACCUUUCUUUACAUAAUAUCACCUUGGAAUAACCAAAAGCAGAUCCCUAGAACCACCUCUGAAGGUAUAUGCACAAAGAAACUGAAGCUUGGAAUAGUGUUCCCUUCACCACAGUAACAGAACCUAACUUUUGACAGCUUUUUUUUUUUUCCAUUAAAAGAAAAGAAAAAGGCUGGAAAAUUAGUUAAACAGCAAAAAAAGAAAACAGAAAGUUAUUUUGGUAACUGGGAAGCUCAAAACACAAACUCAGAAGACAACAAAGUCAAGACUGCUUAAGUCCAAAAAGAAUUAAUAGAGGAGAUCAAAAAGGAUUUUUAAAAAUCAGAGAAGAAAAAUUGGGAAAAGAAAUGAGUGAUAUAGGAAAAUCAUGAAAAAAGAAUUAACAGCUUAAUAAAAGAGGCCCAAUAAAAGCCUUAAGAAAUUAAUAUCUUAAAAAUCAAAAUAGGCCAAUUGGUAAGAGGCACAAAAAUCCAAUGAAGAGAAGAACUUCUUAAAAAGCAGAAUUGACCAAAAGGAAAAA